rnacentral:lncRNA from 1 species
UCCAGCCUGGGCGACAGAGCGAGACUCCAUCUCAAAAAGGGAAAAAAAUGUAUAUUCUGUUAUUAUUGGGUGUAGAGUUAUAUUUAUACAAUUAGGUUAUAUGUGUUAAAGAUGUUUGGAUUUCCUAAAUCUCUACUAAAUAUUUUUUCUUGUUCUGUUAUUAGGAGAAAUGUAAAAUUUUUCUCUAUGAAUUUGGAUUUGUCUAUUUCUCCUAUUAAUUCGAUUACUUUUCCCCUUUUUCAAGUUUAUUAGGAAUACAGAAAUUUAAACUUGUUUGACCUUACUAGAUGAUUGGCCUUUUAUCACUUUAAAAUUUCCUAUUUAUUUCUAAUAAUGCUAUCUUUAAGUCUACCGUUAUUUUUAACCUCCUUGUGUCCUUAUAUUAAAGGUGUGUCGAUUGCAAGCAUAUACUUACACUAUAUAGGAGUAUAUAAUUAUACCAUAUAGAUUAUAUAUAGUAUAUAUAUAUAUAUACAUACACACACAAGGAGUAUAUAAUUAUACUAUAUAGUCUAUCUUUUUAUUACUUAGCCUAGUUAUGUUUAGUAUAAUUAUUAAUCUGUUGGAGUUUAUGUUUACCAUCUUAUUGUUUUCUAUUUGAACCAUCUCUCAGUUUUAUGGAAAGAGGCCUAUGCACACAUAUUCACUUAGUAUCUCUCACUAAUACUUUAGCCACUUCCUCACAGAAGCCCACCCAACCUCAAGUCUAGAUACGAUUCCUUUUUGUAGUCAUUUUUGUAGUAUCGUCUUCUUUUUCCUAAGAGCACGUCGCUCAGUUAUUUUGUGUGAAUAUUUAAUUAAUGUCUGUUUCUUCUUUUAGACUAUAAUUCGAUGAUGGUAGGACUUUUUUUAUUAUAAAUAAAUAUUUGUAGCAUUAAAUUAAUAUGUAAAUUCUGUAACUAAUUCUACCUUUCUUUACAAUCAAAGGUUAAAUACAAACAACUUUCAUAAAUAAUCUACCCAUUUCCUUUAUGUAGAAGCGCAUCAUCUCACUGAGGAACCACUAUUAUAUUGAGUCUAAAUUGUCCUACCAUUGAUCAUGUCAAGCCCUCUCUUCAGGGACUUUGAGAGGCUUUGCAGUUUCCUGCAAUAGUGGGCUCAUUUCAUCACAUUUCCUGAGACAACCCUGUUUCUUGCACAUCCACAGGGAGGGUGAAUAGGACUGACCCAGUGCUCAUUUAUUGCAAAUAUUUUCCAGAUUAUUUGGUGCAAAUUCCUCUUCUACAAUAUUCCAUUGUCAUUUUUAAGUGAACUCGUCAAAGCUAAGGGCUCUGACUCAUGAAUGUUCACUUUCUUCCUGGAUUAAGUAGGCAGUCACAGUAAAAAAUGUCUGAUGACUCAAAGUUUCUAUGAGUGUAUUCAAGAUUUUUUCUCUUUUGAAAAAUCACUCUGAGUACAAGCGGAAGAAAUAAUGAUGUGCUAUGUGUCCUUCCUGACAUCCCUACGUAAACGGUACACUCUUCAGGACUUUUAUUCUUUCAGAAAUAUUCCAGCUUUUCAAGGUCCUUUGAUCCAUGUUUUAAUUAAAGGAAAAAAUUAUUUCUUUUUAUGCAUGUACUUUAAGAAAGUUUAUACCAAUAAUUCAAAUUAAGCAGAAUAAGUACCAUGAAAAUUAGAGAAAAUCAAAUCAGGCGAAUAAACCUAUUGCAAAUUACCUGGAGGCUUGACUUGUCCUUGGGUCAAGUUGCAUUGUAUUAGAAUAAAUAUAAUCUGCUGAGUGUAAAUGAAAACUCAGGGAAUAGGGCAGCCUUAUACAAAUAUCAACAGAUAUCUUACUCUGCUCACUACAGUCAACAGAUUAAAAAAUAGAUCUUUAUGGCACCAGGAGCUUAAAAUUUGUGAAAUAAAUGUUUAGAAAAUUUCAUUAUCUAACUCCUCGAAGAAAGCCCUUCUGCUGUAUUUCAACUAGAUACUGGACAUCACAGCUUCUGGAGUCUAUAGGAUUUGUCCAUGCCAAAAAUAUUUAUGAUUUACUUUUCCUCUGAAAGGCUAUUGUUGCCAUAUUGUUGCACAAUGGCUUUCUGAGACCAAUCAACUUUCUCUAGGGCCCAGGAAGAGUAAAAUCAAUAGUACACCCCUCAAUCAUUAUCUCAACUGAUUUUUGAUGGUACUUCUUCACUAUACAGCAACCAUUCUAUUCCUGUGGUAACAAGUUUUUAUAUUAACACAUUGAACACAUUAGUUUCUUAUCACAAACCCCUCCAACCCACAAUAAACUAGGAUUUUGAUUUUCACAUAACAGAACACAUUUGCUCAUUAAAGAUGGAGCAAGGGCUCGGGGGAGAGAGAGAGAGAGAGAGUGAGAGAGAGUGAGAGAUUGAGAUUUUUCCCAAAGACAAUUUAGUUCUUUUUCAAAAAGUAAACUACGGACUCCCACUCCUGUCCAUGACAGAAUGAAUCUGACUAGACUUGCUCUCCCAUAGUAAACAAGUAGGAAACCAAACAAAAUAUAUAAAACAAACAAUUGUUUUCAGAGACUGGACAACAGACAGUACAGGUGUGUGAUUCUGAGGUAAGGGAAGCAAAUGAUAUGAUCCCUAAAAUAACCUUGGCUUUCUACCUGGAGACAUUUUCCAGACCACAAUAAGGAAAAGAAAUCCCAAGCAGAGAAUGGUACUAUCUCUGAAUUAGGGAAAUCGUUUCUGAGUUUGGAGAGGCUGAGACUACUAGAAUUUGGGGGCAGAGUAAAAAAGGACAGAGCUACGCAGAGAAAAAGCUCCAUAAAUCUGCACCAGCGUGCCUAUGAGUCUUUGUACAUUUAUAGGGUAAGGCUCUAUAAGGAGGCUAAGCAGAAAAUAAUCACAAUGGAAAGAAUGACUAAUAAGGAGAUAUUCAUUCUAGAAUUCUGAGAGCUAGAAGACAUAUGAGUUUUGACUAAUAGGAAUGGCGAUACUCGAACUCCUGGGGUAUUCAAUGGAAGCUUCAAAAAGAUACUGACAGCUAUUCAACAAAUAAAGAAAAAGAGGCAUAGAAAAUUUGGAUAACUUACUAAAGUCAUUGAGACAACAGACAGCCAAGGCAUUGGCACAGUCUUUGGACAUGAAAAUCAUGGAGAAGGAAGAGGCUGAUUGUUAUCCAUGAUUAGGCAGUGCAGAUAUAGCUCAAUAUUCCAAAUGGGAUGUUUUGGCCUUGGAGUUAAGUUCCAAGAGCAUUAUAAAAUAAUCACCUGUAUAGGAAGUCCUGACUUAACUCUAUUAACAACUUCGAAAGUCACAUACCUGAAGAUGAUCCUGCAUGUCCAUAGAGCCUAGGUCCCUCAAAAGAUGGUGUUGCAAUGACAGAAAUUGAGACAUCAAGAGAACGUUUAGCAGAAUAAGUUAGUUAAGAUGUAGGUGUGUCGAAAGUUUCAGGUGUCAGUAAACAUCAAAAGAAAAUGUAGCAGUAGCUAGAAAUUUCCAGGCUGAAGAUGAAGGUUAAAGCUAAAGAUAGACUAUUUUUGUCAUCUACAUGGAAGAUGAUGGCUAAAGCUAUAAGAGUGAAUGACAUCAGCAAGGAAGAAAAUACAGGAAUAAGGAAGAAGAGAUGGUGAAAUGGCUACUCGUAAGGAGUGGGAGAAAGAAUAAAUGAGAAGAAAAUGAAGAAUGUGUGGCCAAGAACAUAGGAGAAAAGCCAGGAAGAUCAAUGUCUUAUCAACAGACAGAUUUGAGCAGCAGGUACUCAACAGAGCUUAAGAAAAACAAAUAUUGAGAACAGAGUAAGGACUAUUUCAUUUGGUGAACAGGAGAUUUCUAUUGAACUAGAAUAGCUAGGUAACUACAUUUUCAUGGGUUAAGAAGAGAAGAGGAGAAAGAACAGUGAGGAAGAGAACCCAUUGUAUUAUUGAGGAAUUUUGAAGUCAAAUAAAAAAGAGAUGUGAGUGGAAUGACAUAAUUCUAGAGAUAAGUGAAGCUGGAGAAUGUUACAUGCUUGGAAGGAAGGAGUGAGUCUUAGAAAUUAAGGGAGCAAGUUCCUUCAAGACAGAUGAAACGUAAUGAGCAACAGAAUGAACUAGAUAUGAUAAUGAUGCAAAACUCUUCUUUGUUACAUACAGGCUGGGAGAAGGGUCCACACAAAAAUUCUGAGAUGGAGAUGAUGGCUAAAGUUAGAGUUCACAUUGGAUGACUUUGAACUCAGUAAACUAGGUGAAUUUGCCAGAAGAUAUGAAGCUGUGGGAACUUGGAAGCCCAGGACACUAUGAUAUUGAUUACAGGGAAAUAGUUCAAAAAUAUCACAAGAUUACAAGCA